AUAGUAGGACUGUAGGAGUAUAAGAAUUGGAAUGGGAGCAGAAAAUUCAAACUUGAGCGAGCAGGUUGAGAAAAAGUCCUUUUUGGGUUUCAAUUCACAGUUCCCACUGGCGGUGGUGGUGGCGGAAGAAAGAUGGUGGGGAGGAAGAUGGAAUGGGCGGCGAGAGGGAACCACCUAAGAGGGAUACCAAGAAAAGCUAUUUUCAUGGCGGUCGGCGCUUUUGCAAAAGCGGUAGCCAAUUUGCUCAACACCACCACCGUCCAUAAUGCCGAGACCCUCAUUCACCUUGUCCGAUCCCGCCCUCCUGGCGUCCCUCUCCUCACCGUCAGCAAUCACAUGUCCACGUUGGAUGACCCUGUCAUGUGGGGUUUCAAAGGUUUCCCCAUUACUGAUGCAAGAAUUGGACGCUGGGUACUAGCAGCUGAAGAUAUAUGCUUUAAAAAUACGGGAAAUGCAUACCUAUAACAAGAGGAGGAGGAAUCUAUCAGGAACAUAUGAAUGAAGCUCUUGAUCGCUUGAGGGAUGGAGCUUGGUUACAUACAUUUCCAGAAGGCAAAGUGUGUCAAGAAGAAGCACCAAUAAGAAGGUUAAAAUGGGGAACUGCCAGUCUCAUUGCUCGUGCUCCUGUAACUCCAAUAGUUCUGCCAAUUUUUCAUCAUGGUUUGCAAAAGGUGAUGCCUGAAAAUUAUAUGUUUGGAAGAAGACCUCUUUUACCGUUAUGGAAUAGGAAUAUCAACAUUGUCAUUGGUGAGCCAAUAGAAUUUGACUUGCCUAAGCUGAAGCAGACGGCAUUGUAUCGGUCUAAGGAUUCAAGUCAUUCUGGUGCCAGGUGGCCCAUUCUGAAACCGUGUGGACUGGAUGAGGCAGCACAAAGAUGGCUUUACACAUCCAUAUCAGAGCGAAUUCGGACUGUGAUGGAGAGAUUGCAAAGUUUGGGAAAGUUGAAGUGCUGAUCUAAAGUUCAAAGAACUGAACUUGACAGUGUGGUUUUGAGUCAUGGCGCACUCAACUUCCUAUUUUUAAAUCUUGUGCAUUUUUGGCAGGCUUUUUACACUCCCUCUUGUUUGUUGAAGAUUAAUGUCUUAGGUCUAGAAUGAAUUUUUCUGCCCAUUGACGAUUGGUGUUGAUUAACUCUGUAGUUGCGCUUUCAAGUGGAGAGUGUAUUAGUUGCAAAUCUUGCAGGUUGCCAUUUACAGUUUAUGCCGGACUUCUAUGUGCAGCAUCAAUAUUCUUUCUUGUGCAUUCCCAAGGACACGAGUCUUUUAUUUUGGGAAAGAGGCAAUGGCUUGGAUGGGUGAACUUCGAUUAAGCCGAUUAGAAUGAGAACAAUUAGAGAAUGAGGAUGUCUUUUGUCAUUCUACCAUCGUCCUCAUUUCUUCUUCAAGGAAACCUUCAUAUGUGGAGCACGGGGGGUCAGAUUCCGUUUUUGUUGAGUUGAUUUUCAGGUGCACAAAUAGUUCCUGUAAUAGGAAAAAAAGGAAUGAUUGUGCUGUUUCGCCAUGUUUAACAUUCUGCUAUUUCAGCUGGUUGCUGCCCAAAAAGAAAAGGAAAAAAUCCAACCUAAUCAACAAUAUCAGAAGCGAAAAAAAGAUCGGUAUCUCACAGAAUUAGAUGAUAUUCAUGCGCCGUUUUCUCCUGGAUCCAGUUGUGUCAUGUAUGUUCUCCAUUGAUAAAUCUCUCUCAUGUGUACAGUGUUUGUAAGCCUGGUCAAACAAAAUAGGUCGGUCUGUGUCAGAUGAUAAUCUAAUUAAAUCCCAGAAAGUGAGUGCUGCCCUGUCUCCAUUUUUCAGUCAAAUGAUGAUGAGGAAAUGAUGGUCCUGACUCUGCAGCAUCCUUCUCAUCCAUCAAUGGCAGCGCUCCCCAACACCAGCACCAACAGCCGUCUUAUUGCCUUCACCACCCCAAAAAAUUAUGCAGAAAGGCUCUCCCACGUUAUCCAACUCAAGGGCUGGUGUCCCAUCUGGUGUCCCACUGUCAUUGUUGAAACCACCCCACACACCAUCUCCUCCAUCCAAUUCUACCUCUCCAAUCCAAAUGCCAUCAACAAUUCCCAGAAUCAUCCCAACCUCGAACAAUUCUCAGGUAUAGCUUUCACAUCAAGAACUGGAAUCAAAGCUUUCUCAGAAGCCUUAACCAACAUCCACUCACCCCCACUUGCCCCACAUGGUGAAACCUUCACAAUUUCAGCUCUAGGCAAAGACUCAGAGCUGCUAGAUGAAUCUUUUAUUAAUAAACUUUGUGAAAAUCCCCGUAGAAUUAAGGUCUUGGUUCCUCCAAUUUCAACACCAACAAGUCUAGCCGAAUCACUGGGAUUAGGCCAGGGAAGAAAGGUGUUAUGCCCAGUUCCAUCUGUACUAGGCCUGGAGGAACCACCUGUUGUGCCUAAUUUCCUUGCUCAUCUAGCUAGAAUGGGAUGGACUGCGGUUAGAGUUAACGGUUAUGAGACCCGGUGGGGGGGCCCCACGUGUGCUGAGGAGGUAGCGAGGAGGACUGAUGAGGAAUGUGGGUUGGAUGGCCUUGUGUUUACAAGUACUGCAGAGGUUGAAGGGCUUUUGAAGAGCUUGAAAGAGUUGGGGCUGAAUUGGGAGAUGAUGAGGAUGAGGUGUCCAAGCAUGUUGGUGGCUGCUCAUGGUCCAGUUACAGCUUCUGGUGCUGAGAGAUUGGGAGUUGGCAUAGAUGUGGUACCAAUAAGGUAAUGCCAGUUCUUGCUUUCUUUUGAAGAAGGGAGGGUUAUGUAAUAUGUAUGUAUUGGAGAGAACAAGAAAAAGCUCUGAACUCAGGACAAAGUAAUUGGUAAAAAUUUCCAGCGAUCUCAUUCCAAACAUUCAUACACUCCUGAUUUUGGAACUUCACAUUUGCCCUUUCGAUCAUUAUGGGAAGAGAAAAUUACGGAAAUGAAAUGAUUGGUUUAUUUGCCUCUCUCUUUAUCCUCCAUCCAUGAUACAGAUGUCUACAUGGAGAUUUUGAGUUCAUUUUACAUUCCCUUUCAAAACAUUAAGAAGAUAUUUUCUUCUGUACGAGGAGGAAUUUGAGGAAGAGUUUUUGAGCUUCCUAUAACCAGAAAGUUGUUAAAUUGGCCUAUGUGAUGAUGAAGGCCUGCUAGAAUGGACCCAACCACUGAAGAUCAGAAAAUAUGCUGGAUACCAAACAACUCAAACGAACAAGGAGGCAUUGGCCCUCAAAAUGAGACUCCACUGAAAUUAUGUACAGAAUAAAACCCCCCCAAAAAAAAAAGGGAAAAAUAAUGAAAGUGAAAUGUAUCAAUUGACCAUUUAUCUGUGUUUGGUGUGAAGGCAGAUAGAAUAUGUAUCAAAGUUCCUAUUGCCACCAACUUUUUAUCAA